rnacentral:rRNA from 1 species
AUGUAUGAUGAUGAUCAAGAGGAUGAUGAGAUUUCAUCUCAGCUGCUUAUACCCUAUGUUGGGAUGGAGUUUGACUCUGUUGAUGAUGCCAAGACAUUUUACAACGAAUAUGCAUUCAAGAUGGGCUUUGGUACACGCAUUGCCGCUUAUAAAAACAGCUGA